GACAGAGGGGGCAAGCGUUGCUCGGAAUCACUGGGCGUAAAGGGCGCGUAGGCGGGGUGGCAAGUCAGUCGUGAAAUCUCUCGGCUCAACCGAGAAACGUCGGCUGAUACUGCCGUUCUUGAGGGAUGCAGAGGAGACUGGAAUUCCCGGUGUAGCGGUGAAAUGUGUAGAGAUCGGGAGGAACACCGGUGGCGAAGGCGGGUCUCUGGGCAUUUCCUGACGCUGAGGCGCGAAAGCGUGGGGAGCAAACGGG
rnacentral:rRNA from 1 species